rnacentral:rRNA from 1 species
AAGCGUGGGGAGCAAACAGGAUUAGAUACCGUGGUAGUCCACGCAGUAAACGAUGAAUGUUAGUCGUUGAGACUCUAGUAGUUUCAGUGAGACAGUUAUCACAUUAAACAUUCCGCCUGGGGAGUACGGUCGCAAGAUUAAAACUCAAAGGAAUAGACGGGGACCCGCACAUGUGGUGGAGCAUGUGGUUUAAUUCGAAGAUACGCGAAGAACCUUACCUAGCCUUGACAUACUACAGAAUUUGACAGAGAUGUUGAAGUGCCUUCGGGAGCUGUAAUACAGGUGCUGCACGGCUGUUGUCAGCUCGUGUCGUGAGAUGUUGGGUUAAGUCACGCAACGAGCGCAACCCUCGUCGUUAGUUACUAUCGGUUUGGCCGAGGACUCUAAGGAGUCUGCCUUCGUAAGGAGGAGGAAGGUGAGGACGACGUCAAGUCAUCAUGGGCCUUACGGCUAGGGCAUCACACGUGCUACAAUGGGUAGGACAAUGAGAAGCGAUACCGCGAGGUGGAGCAAAUCUAUAAACCUAAUCUCAGUUCGGAUAACAGUCUGCAACUCGACUGCUUGAAGCUGGAAUCACUAGUAAUCGUAAAUCAGGUAUGCUACGGUGAAUACGU